GAGCGAUAUGACGACGAACCGGAAGUAGUUCGAUGUCGCCACCAGCUGAAGCUCGAAAGCUAAAUGGACCUCAAACUACUUCGUUUGAUUAUUACCUAACGCGAAAUCCAUGGCUGCGAUGCGUUGUUAUCUGCACUGUCCUCCAGGAUGGGUAUGUGCACAUUGAACUGCAGCAGGAAGAACAGCUGGAGCAUGUCCUGAAAUGUUUUUCAAGCACCUUUACAGAGGAUUUGCUGUUAAAAGAUGAAUCCUCCUCGUCCGUCCUCCAUCUGAUCUCCUGACAGCUCCAGGAACUGCGGUGCAUAUUGGCUGGGCAGUAGCUUUGCAGUUUGAUGGCCAAUUUGCCGGCACCUCCCUCAUGAGCAGACAGCACUGAAGCUGCCCCGAGUGCCAAUUUACAAGUACUUGGAAACCAACACCUACUGAGAAAGAAGAGGGUGAGAAAAUGAUAAAAGGCAGAGAGAAAGUUGGGCUUGAUCAGCCCACUUUUCCAGGGAACGGUUGCAGCUGGGUAAAACCGCUCCGAAGGGAGGAAGGACCCGGAACAGAAGCUUCUGUGCUUCCCUGUUUAUCUGCCUCAUCGUGUUACGAAGUGACGGACCAGUACAGAAGAAAAUAGAUGUGCAAGUCUGACAUUUAAUGUGAAAUGUAAAGAGAAAUAAAGACAUCCUAAAAGAAAAGCUAACAUGUUGAUGUCAAGUAUUUCCUUAUGUUUUUUUUCCCAGAAUGCAGUAGUAACUAGGAUCUUGCAACACAUGUUUAGCAAAAAUAUGUCAGAAAUCUGUUUAUUCUGAAGGAAACUUUCCCUGCUUCGUAUUUUGUGAUUGAUUUUUAAGUUUCUUGCCUGUUUAAAGUCACGUAGCAGAAUCCCUUUGACACUGGAGUCUACAAUCUGGUCUCACAUUUUCAUUAGAUAGAAAACAUUUUUGA